rnacentral:sRNA from 1 species
ACAAGAACAAUAAAAACUGUGACACACCCAAUAAAAAUAAGACGUAACGACUCUGACAUAACAAGAACAACACGACAGAGACGCAGCUAACAGAUUUUUUUGGAGAAGAUGUGCUUUUCCGGGGUUCGCCCCCGCAACCUGACAUAAAACAAUAAAACUACCCCAAGGUAGCGAAAGUCACGGUUGGAUCAGCAAUGAUGAGAGUAGAUCAGCGCUCAAAAAAAUACGUUUGCUCUUGAUCCCGAAUGGGGAUCGCCAGUGACAAGAGGCAACGGUCGCCAAAAACAACAACAGGCCGCCCUCCAAUAACAAAAAAAGAGCACGCAACAAUCUUUGAGGGGAGCUUCGGCUCCCCUCAGUGCUUCCUGCCCUCCUGGUUUUUCCUCCUCC